rnacentral:rRNA from 1 species
CCCGUAGAUGUCCGGGGCCGCACGCGCGCUACACUGAAGGAAUCAGCGUGGCUUUCUCCCUGACCCGAAAGGGUUGGGAAACCCGUUGAAUCUCCUUCGUGAUAGGGAUUGGGGCUUGAAAUUGUUCCCCAUGAACGAGGAAUUCCCAGUAAGCGCGAGUCAUAAGCUCGCGUUGAUUACGUCCCUGCCCUUUGUACACACCGCCCGUCGCUACUACCGAUUGAACGGUUUAGUGAGGGCCUCGGAUUGGUCUCGGCCCGCUCUUUACCGGGCGGCGCCGUUGGUCGAGAAGACGCUCGAACUUGAUCGUUUAGAGGAAGUAAAAGUCGUAACA